rnacentral:rRNA from 1 species
ACUGGAGAUGGCGACCGGCGCACGGGUGAGUAACACGUAUCCAACCUGCCGAUAACUCGGGGAUAGCCUUUCGAAAGAAAGAUUAAUACCCGAUGGCAUAAUAGAACCGCAUGGUUGAUUAUUAAAGAAUUUCGGUUAUCGAUGGGGAUGCGUUCCAUUAGGCAGUUGGUGGGGUAACGGCCCACCAAACCUUCGAUGGAUAGGGGUUCUGAGAGGAAGGUCCCCCACAUUGGAACUGAGACACGGUCCAAACUCCUACGGGAGGCAGCAUG